rnacentral:rRNA from 1 species
UACAGAGGGGGCAAGCGUUGUUCGGAAUUACUGGGCGUAAAGGGCGCGUAGGCGGCCGCCUAAGUCAGACGUGAAAUCCCUCGGCUCAACCGGGGAACUGCGUCUGAUACUGGAUGGCUUGAGGUUGGGAGAGGGAUGCGGAAUUCCAGGUGUAGCGGUGAAAUGCGUAGAUAUCUGGAGGAACACCGGUGGCGAAGGCGGCAUCCUGGACCGAUUCUGACGCUGAGGAGCGAAAGCCAGGGGAGCAAACGGG